CUCACACCCCCUCCCAUGCUCACACCCCCUCCCAUGCUCACACCCCCUCCCAUGCUCACACCCCCUCCCAUGCUCACACCCCCUCCCAUGCUCACACCCCCUCCCAUGCUCACACCCCCUCACAUGCUCACACUCCCUCACAUGCUCACACUCCUGUUGAGAGACAUUAGAGCAGUGGUUCUCAACUCUCCUAACACUGUCCCCU
rnacentral:lncRNA from 1 species